ACAGCUUGCUGCUUCGCUGACGAGUGGCGGACGGGUGAGUAAUGUCUGGGAAACUGCCUGAUGGAGGGGGAUAACUACUGGAAACGGUAGCUAAUACCGCAUAACGUCGCAAGACCAAAGAGGGGGACCUUCGGGCCUCUUGCCAUCGGAUGUGCCCAGAUGGGAUUAGCUUGUUGGUGAGGUAACGGCUCACCAAGGCGACGAUCCCUAGCUGGUCUGAGAGGAUGACCAGCCACACUGGAACUGAGACACGGUCCAGACUCCUACGGGAGGCAGCAGUGGGGAAUAUUGCACAAUGGGCGCAAGCCUGAUGCAGCCAUGCCGCGUGUAUGAAGAAGGCCUUCGGGUUGUAAAGUACUUUCAGCGAGGAGGAAGGCGUUGCGGUUAAUAACCGCAGUGAUUGACGUUACUCGCAGAAGAAGCACCGGCUAACUCCGUGCCAGCAGCCGCGGUAAUACGGAGGGUGCAAGCGUUAAUCGGAAUUACUGGGCGUAAAGCGCACGCAGGCGGUCUGUCAAGUCGGAUGUGAAAUCCCCGGGCUCAACCUGGGAACUGCAUUCGAAACUGGCAGGCUAGAGUCUUGUAGAGGGGGGUAGAAUUCCAGGUGUAGCGGUGAAAUGCGUAGAGAUCUGGAGGAAUACCGGUGGCGAAAGGCGGC
rnacentral:rRNA from 1 species